GACGAACGCUGGCGGCGUGGAUUAGGCAUGCAAGUCGGACGGUAGGGCUUUAUCGUAAGAUAGAGUUUGAGAGUGGCGAACGGGUGAGUAACACGUAGGAAUCUACCCUUAAGACGGGGACAACCCAGGGAAACUUGGGCUAAUACCGGAUGAGAGUGCGAGAGAUUGCAUUUAAAAGGAUGGCGAAAGUUGUCGCUUAGGGAUGAGCCUGCGGUCUAUUAGUUAGUUGGUGAGGUAAGAGCUCACCAAGGCGAUGAUAGAUAGGCGGCCUGAGAGGGCGACCGGCCACGACUGGGACUGAGACACGGCCCAGACUCCUACGGGAGGCAGCAGUGGGGAAUAUUGCACAAUGGGCGAAAGCCUGAUGCAGCGACGCCGCGUGAGGGAUGACGGCCUCGGUUGUAACCGUCUUCUAGCAGGAGAAGACGAAGUAGACGGUACCGUGCAGAAGAAGCACCGGCUAACUACGUGCCAGCAGCCGCGGUAAACGGUAACUCU
rnacentral:rRNA from 1 species